AGGGCGCAGGGGAAGGAGCCUGGUCCUCGGACUCCAGAGUUGGAGCUGAAGGUCAAACGGUGGUGGGAACAGACGGGACAGGCUCCUGCUUACCCGUCUUAUUUUGGAAGAUUUUUUAAAUACUCUGGAUAAUCAAACUUCUCUAAAACUAGCAAGUUACAGGAGCCAUCAGACCUCACCAUCCAGGUGCUGGGACUUGUGCUGCCUUUGGCAACUCUCUCAUUUGGAUGAGAUGCAUCCCGCCCCCAAGAUCCUGGCCCGUCUCCACCGGUUAAGCUCGGAAAAUGGCUGAUACCUGAGAAGCCAGGUGUCUGCAGCAGGGAACUCUUCAGCCUGGCAGUCUUGGGGAUGCCUGUCAGUGGCACAGUCCUGAAGGAGCACAGCAGGGACGCAGCCUGGAGACUGGUUCUGAGACGCUGUAAACCUCUGAUAUUGGCCCUUCCUGAACCACACCUCUAGACAUGAUUCUUCCCUAUCUGCUUCCGUAGAUUUUUUUGGGUGUUGCGGGGCUCUUUCUGGAUCCCCUGGGUUGGAUGUGGGUACUCAGGUGACUGCUGGUGUGACUCAAUUUCAUGGUUCCUUACCAGCAGGGACAUCUUUGAUCCCUUCACAUGUAAGUUGCUGUCUGACCUCUGCACAUUGGGAUCCUAACAUGAGGUCCACUGUUGCCACGCUCUGGUAGGAGUCUGGUGAUGAGACUCUCACUCUCCUCCCUUGCUCAUCUGUGGCCAUUACUGAACUUGGGUUGGCUCUAGGCUGCCUCCCUCAACCCCCAGGACAUUCCAUCUGCCCCAGAGCCUGCCCACCAAGGGGUACGUUAAGGUUGGGAUUGGGCCCUUCUUUCCUGUCCAGUAACAGGGGUCUCUGAGGUGCUGUGGUCAUCACCACAUGGGGUCCCUGCCUGGGCCUUCUGGGAGUCCUCAUUGGCAGGAAAGGGGGCUGGGAAGAAAGGCACCUCAGUGAGGUUGGAAUUGAUAUUUUAUUAUCAAGCUGUGCUUCUAAUGGUGUAGGGUUUGAUACCAGGGCUUAAUUAACUUGCCUUUGGAGCCCAUCCCUGAUACACAGAAGGCUAAGCUAGAAAAGAAAGACUGCAGAUGGGCUGAGGCUGGAACUUUUUUCAACUUGAAGAGAUUAGCAACUUCAGUAUUCUGAAGGGCAAGUGCCUCCUGGGCCUCACACUAACUUGUAUUAGUGAGCCGGCUGAGCACAGACAACUGCAGUCAGGCAGUUGUGUAACUCGCUGGCGGAGGAGACUCAUGUCCAGGCUCCUUGGGAGGGUGGACUGUCUGGGAAGGGAAAAGGCAUGUUGGUCACCAGCCUGGAGCAAUGACCUUCCAGGGGAAUCUGACCCUUUAGAGACUGCCAGAAUUUCCUGAUGAAAUGGGCUUCCAGGAUGAUUUCUGUGUUAUCUGCAGGCAACUGUUUAAGGGCCUCAUUAUCUUUCCUUUUAACAAUGACCUUCAAGCCUGGGAGUCCCCAAAAUGCUGGGAGAUGUUGGUGGCUUUCCUGGUGGCUUCUUGCAAUUAUUUAUGCACAGAGGCUGAAUUCCUGCUUCCUAGCAGCUUCUGCUAGAGGUGACAUUGCAGGUUUUGUAUUGUCAUUGGCAUGAAGGAUUGUGACCUGUUCUGAGCCACAGGGCUAGAUACCCUACAGCAACCCCUCUAGAUUGGUCGUGAAGUUGGUGGGAAUGGAAAGGAGCAUUAGAAGUGGGGCUGAGUUUCAACCUGAGCCUUAUAUCCAGCCCAUGAUUGGGCUGCAGAAGGAGUUUAGUGUUGGGGUUGGACCACAGGGGACUGGACUAAGGGCUGGACCAGAGAGUGAUGUGAAGCUACUACUACUUCAUGAAUUUGCCCAGGUAAGACAUUAAACAGUUGUUCCAACAGAAUGGAGGGAAGAUCUGGGGAUCCAGAGACCAUGACAGAUCCAUUAAGGACUCACUGUGCAGAUUCAUAGAUCCCAAGGUUUUCUGUAAGUGGUCCCCCAAAAUCUCAGGACAUGGUAGCUCUCUAGCACCCAGCAGCUGCUCUAAUCUGUCUUUCAUGCUCCAGAAUGGCGGGCCACCCAUGAUAUCCUCUGUGUCAUCCAGCGACUUGAGCAUAUUCCCUGAAGAAUUUAGGUGACUGACCCUUCUGCUGCUUCUUUGUCCUUUCAGCUGCACUCUCAGCUUCCGGGAGUCAGGGAUGAUGAAAGUCGGGCUACCAGCCUCCACCUGGUGGUUUUUAGUGUUGUCCCAGAAUGGGGCCCUUGGUUAGGGGAUUGGAAGGCCCCCUCUCAAUGACUCAGGAUGUGACCACGCUGAGAGGCUCAAGGCUUUGGCCCUUCUGGAAUCCCACCAGGACAUGGACGUAAAAGGACGGGUUGAGCAUCCUAGGCCUGAGAUGGUUUAGAUGGGAGACUGUGUCCAAGGGAUAUGGGAGAAGAGUAUGGGGCAGUGCCCAUUGGCAGUGACAACGAGUCACACUGAGGAAGAGUCAAGCUGGAGCCUGGAGAUGGGUGGCCAGCAAAGGCCAUCAGAGAUGGAGGCCAGGCCUCUGAACCAGGGGGCGCUGAGUGGCGAGGUGAAGGAGCAGGUAAAUGGGGGCAAAGGCUCUCCAGGGGACGAGGAGUGUAUGAUGGCUCAGAAGCGGUCAGUAUGACUCUGAACUAACAGAAAGUAAGGAAAACAUGGGUCCUGAUGAGUGGGUGGAGGCCAGAGGUAAGGAGUGCAUGGUCAGAGAAGCUGACAGGGACAUGGCAGGAGUAGCAACUUCCACACACUUCCCUGAAUGCUGGUGGGCUCUGGCAGAUGCUGCUUUCCACCCAUUGCUCAGGGGGUCGUGACCUAAGGGCUGAUGGCAGUGCCCUUUUCAUGGUGCAUCCUCAGGUGGCUGCACAAGACAGGAGGCCCAAGCUAUGGCCAAGAGAAGAGGAACCAGGAGGCCCAGGCAGGACAGGCAGCAUGGGCACCCGUAUCCCAGUCUCCUUCCAUUGCCCCUGGCUGACCUGGGCUACCAGCCUCCACCUGUCGUUUUCUAGUGCUACCCAGAAUAGUGCACCUGAUAGGGGGCUGGGAAGGGGCUGUCAAAGGGACCCAGGUUGUGACCAUGCUGAGAGUCUCAAGGCUUUGGCAAUCCUUGAGUCCCAAGUGGUCAGGGACAAAAAGGACAGGUUAAGUAUCUUAGGACUGCAAAUAUUGUUGGUUUCACUUCUGAUUUGGAUUCCUUUUAUUUCUAUCCAUUGCUUAACUGACUGUGCUGACUGGACUGCCAGUACUUUGUUGAAUAUCACUGAUGAGAUCCCGACAUACCUGUCCUGUUCCUAUUCUUAGGGAAAACCUUUCAGUAUUUUUAAAUUAAUAUGCGUACAAGAUCUGGGUGUAGGCCUGUGGAGUGGUGGAUGAGAUGAUUCGCCAGAGACAGAGUGGGGAGAAGAGCAACAUAAAUGGAGCUGGAAGGAAUCAUGCUUAGUAAAAUAAGCCAGAAAGAGAAAGAAAAAUGCUAGAUGGUCUCAUUCACAGCAGGAAUUUAGUAAACCCAAAUAAGGGAUCAGGAAAAAGACUAAUUUAAUAUAGUGAAAAUCAAAAUCAACAGGCAACUAUAAACCAGAGGCACACUGUGGGGGCAGGGGAGAAAGGAGUCAGAUCAAAACAAGGAUGGUGGGAAUUUUACCGAAACUAUAACCAAGAUGAAGAGGCACACAUUGUACAAAAUGAAAAAAUGAUGUAAAUUAUAUAAAAUGAAAAAAAAAUGAUUUUUUCCAAUAAAAUAAAAUAAAAUACACUGCUGAGGGUUGCAGCAGGCAAGAUAGGAAAGGUCUGCUGCACCAUGUGGGUAUUUCCCUGGCCUGGGAUCGAACUCAUGUUGCAGUGGCUGAGAUAACUUGAUAUGCUGUGUCUUUAACCCCUGAACCACCAGGGAGAACCCAAAUCUUUCAGUUUUUUAACUAAGUGUGCUUUUCUCUAUAUGGCAUUUAUUAUGAUGAGAUAUGUCCCCUUCACAAUUUAUGAGAAACUUCACUGAUAAAUGGGUGUGGAAAUUGUGAAAUGUUUUCUCUGUGUCUAUUGAAAUGACCAUGUGAAUUUUCUCCCUUGUUGAUGUGGUGAAUGUCGUUGCUUGCAUAAUGUAUAGGAAACAAUUUUGUAUCUCUGCAGUUAAAUCUACUUGGCCAUGAUGAAUUAUUCAAUUAAUGUAUUGCUGGAUUAAUCUGCCAAAAUUCUCUGGGGGACUUUUGCAUCUAUGUUCAUCAGAGAUAUUGACCUAUGUUUUCCAUUUGUACUGUCAUUGUUUGGUUUUGAGACCAAGCUAAUUUGGCCUUUUAAAAUGUGAUAUGGAAAUUUCCUUACUGUUCAAUGAUUUUUUGAAGGGUUGAGGUUAGAUCUUCUUUAAAGUAUGAAAUAUUUGCAUUUGGGGAUAAAAGAAAAUCAGUGGACCUUGAGGGGAUUAUGUUAAGUAAAACAAGUUAAACAGGGAAAGGCAGAUACCACUUUCACUUAUCUGUGGAAUAUAAAUACACAAAACACUUGUUUUGUACUGAAGAGUUGGAACAAAUCUUGAACUUAUCAAGAUGAAGCUAAUGGUUACCUGAGUGAGCAGGGGAGAGAGAGGAGGGUAUGGGAGAAUUGGAGAGGUAAGGUGUGGGCAUGUGUGAAUUGAAGGGGGGGGGAGAUCUGGAAAUGAACAUGACAAAAACAGAGAUGAAAAACUGGUUGGAGGGGUUCAACAGCACAUUGAAAUGCAGAAAAAAGAAUCAUCAGAUUUGAAGGUGGAGUAAUAAAAAUUAAGCAUUCUGAAGAACAAAGAGAAAAGAGUUUGAAAAAAACUGUCCUGUGAGACAUCCUUAGGCACACCACGCAUAUGAAUGAGAGUGCUAGAAAGAAAGGAAGGAAAAGAAAAUAAAAUGUUGUAGAAUUACUGGCUGGAAACUUAACAAAUAUGAUGAAAACGAUUAAUCCACAGACAAUGUUUACCUCUAGCAAGAUAAAAACAAAGAAAUCCACCUUUUGUCUCAUAGUCAAACUGUUAUAGGACAGACUGUGGGAAAACAAAGGGUUAAUUUUUAAAUAGCAAGAGUAAAACAGUUCUUCAUAUCCAGAGGGACCACAAUAAGAAUGAUCAAACUUCUAAUCAGGAAAUUUGGUGGGAAGGAUGAGAUAUUCAAAGAGCUGCUUGCAGUCCCACUUACAAGAGUAACUGCAGGAGGCCUUUUGAACUGAAAUGCUUGAUUCUUAUUUGAAAAUGCAGGAUGUUUUAGAGGAUUGUGUUUGAGUGUGUGUGUGUGGGGGGCUGUGACAUAUGUCUAUGAGUACAGAGUGUUGGAAAUAUUUUCAGUUUAACUUUUAUUAAUUUCAGAAGCAAAAAUUCUAGAAACUUAUGAAUAUAUAUAUAUAUAUAUAGAGAGAGAGAGAGAAGGUUUGAAUAUUUUAAUUGUUUAUGUCUUUAUCUUUCUAAGUUUUGGGCAAUUAUUCAAUUAUUCUCUUGUUAAAGAGAAUGGAGAUUAACUGCAAUGAAAGUUUGUAUUUUUUUCCCUCAAAGUUCACAAAUAAAUAUAAAGGAAAUUUAUAUUCUGAGUUUGCAUCAAUGAAAGGACAUUAUGAGGGACAAUGAAACCAUUAUGGGGAAAAGGUGGCCUUUAAGACAGU